rnacentral:tmRNA from 1 species
AGAAUUGCUUUUUGAAUAAUCAUUUGUUAUUAUAGCUUGCCUUUAGGGGCUAUGGUGAUAAACGCUGCUUGUAAUAGGAGAGGCGGACCCGGGGGCGGUACCCGGCGCCUCCACCACUUUUUUGAGGGGGCGAAAUAGGAUCGACGUGCUUUGAAAGAAGUUGCUUUUACCCGGUAUGAUUCCGCCGGAUCUUCGGAUCUUGGGUCAAAAACAAUAAAUGCAAACGAUAAUAAUCGUCUUGCAGUUGCUGCAUAGUUAGCAACUACGCGGUUAGGGGGCUUUCCGGGCAACAGAAUAAGCCCUGU